rnacentral:rRNA from 1 species
UACGGAGGGUGCAAGCGUUAAUCGGAAUUACUGGGCGUAAAGCGCGCGUAGGCGGCUAGAUAAGUCGGAUGUGAAAGCCCCGGGCUCAACCUGGGAACUGCAUUCGAUACUGUUUGGCUAGAGUAUGAGAGAGGGAGGUAGAAUUCCACGUGUAGCGGUGAAAUGCGUAGAUAUGUGGAGGAAUACCGGUGGCGAAGGCGGCCUCCUGGCUUAAUACUGACGCUGAGGUGCGAAUGCGUCGGGAGCAUACAUU